CUCACUGAGACACAAACACCUGGGCCCGUAUCCUCGAGAACUAUUAACUUUUACUCUUAAAGUUACUAUCAAAGUUAACAGUUUCAAAUUAUUAAGAGUAAAAGCUAUCUUCGUCAACUUUGAGUGUAAGUAUUAGCAAAUCCUGGCUACUAUUAUCUUCUUCUUCUUCUUCUUUAUGGCGGGCUCGUUGCUAAGGACGCCUCCGUGCAAAACAUAAACAUCCGACAUGAAUUAAGUAAAUAUUUCAAAAGAAAAAUAAAGAAAACAUGUAUAAAUGUACAACAAAAACAUAAUAAAUGGCAAACACAAGAAAAUAUUGAGUUUUGUGGCAGAUAGAAGCAGCCUCAAAAGCUGUUUUUACUCCGUCACUCGUCAAUACCCGUAUCUCCCCUCCUGCGUCACGACUUGCUCUGCUGAAAUUACUGCACCAUAACCACGUCAUCUGCCCCAAUGAGCACGUCUACGGGCCGGAGAACCAGCGCAGAAAAGGAGUAAGUUUAAUUGGUCGCCAGAUGAAACGGUCUUCUUACAUCAAAUUCAUGAAAAAAUACGUAUAAUCAGAGGGUGUUAUGGGAAGAGUAUCACCCCUGAGGAUAAGAAGAGAGCUUGGACUGAAGUGGCAGAAGCUGUAACAAGUGCCUUCCCUGGGAGUGGACCCCGUACGCAGGAUGACUGUGAGAGGCGUUGGUACAACGUACAACAAAAAUCAAAGCCUUGCAUUGCCAAGUGCAAGAAUGAACAGUGGCACUGCCCCGCUGCUGUAUUGCUAGAGACCAUCCCAGCACAUUGUUCAUUACUUGUGGAAAAGAUACCAUCAGCUGCUCCGGCAACAGCCACUGCUUCAACAUCUGCUGGCCCUAUGACAUCAGCCACUGCUUCAUCAUCUGCUGGCCCAAUAACACCUGUCACUGCUUCAUCAUCUGCUGGCCUUAUGACACCAGCCACUGCUUCAUCAUCUGCUGGCCCAAUGACAUCUGCCACUGCAAGGGAUGACAAUGAAGCUGCUCCACCACAGUCACCACCUACUUCAUCGGAGUUAAGAGAUGCCUUUCAUAGGGCAGCAGCAUAAUUUUUUGAUGCUGGGGCUGAAUAUUACUGCCUCAAGGCUAUGAUU